rnacentral:pre_miRNA from 1 species
GCCCCCCGGAUGAUGCACCAUCGAUUGAGGUUGAGUUUAUCGAUGUGCCUUGACCAGGGGUAG